rnacentral:tRNA from 1 species
CAGUCUUGUAGUGGACGCACGUCGAAUUGCAAAUUCGAAAACGUACCCAAAGGGUACCUGGACU